UACGUAGGUGGCAAGCGUUAUCCGGAAUUACUGGGCGUAAAGCGUGCGUAGGUGGUUCGUUAAGUCUGAUGUGAAAGCCCUGGGCUCAACCUGGGAAUGGCAUUGGAUACUGGCGACCUAGAGUGCGGUAGAGGGGUGUGGAAUUCCCGGUGUAGCAGUGAAAUGCGUAGAUAUCGGGAGGAACAUCUGUGGCGAAGGCGACACCCUGGACCAGCACUGACACUGAGGCACGAAAGCGUGGGGAGCAAACAGG
rnacentral:rRNA from 1 species